rnacentral:ncRNA from 2 species
UACUCAUCGAGACCGGCGGAGGGACAGGCCCUUGGAUGCCGGGGCAACCUGCAGAUCAUGCUGCAACGGUGCCAACUCCUGCGGAGCGUUCCAUGGACGCUUUCCGGAAGAUGGGCG